rnacentral:rRNA from 1 species
GUAGGUGGCAAGCGUUGUCCGGAAUUAUUGGGCGUAAAGCGCGCGCAGGCGGUUCUUUAAGUCUGAUGUGAAAGCCCACGGGCUCAACCGUGGAGGGUCAUUGGAAACUGGAGAACUUGAGUACAGAAGAGGAAAGCGGAAUUCCACGUGUAGCGGUGAAAUGCGUAGAGAUGUGGAGGAACACCAGUGGCGAAGGCGGCUUUCUGGUCUGUAACUGACGCUGAGGCGCGGAAGCGUGGGGAGCAAACAGGAUUAGAUACCCUGGUAGUCCACGCCGUAAACGAUGAGUGCUAAGUGUUAGGGGGUUUCCGCCCCUUAGUGCUGCAGCUAACGCAUCAAGCACUCCGCCUGGGGAGUACGACCGCAAGGUUG